GCCCGCCCCCCGGGUCCCUCCCCGCGCCGCGCGCAGAGGCCGCCCCGUCACCUGCGCCGCCGCUUCCGAGCGGGGAGGGCGGCGGCGGGCCAGGCCCUCCGGCCCGGCUCGGCUUCCGGGUGCUCGCUGCGCGCUCGGGGCCGGGCUCCUCGCGGAGUGGGCCCAGCCCGGUGUUUUUGGCUUCGGGGUAUUAGGUGUUGCAAAAGGGGGAAAGUGAAAGUCCUCGGAAUUAGGGAAACGCGCCGGAUAUAUUCGUUGACCACCUGGACCCGGGGCGCACCUCGAGGCAGAACGGGUCUGAGUACGAAGAGAGAGAGAAAUUGAGACUGGAAUUGAACCUGCUUGUUUUCUGGCACAAGCGUGGACCAGGGAGAUGGGAGCCUUCAUCCUCGGCCCCCACCAGGCCCCCCUCCCCAGUCCCACACCUCCACCCGCAGCGGCUCCGUGACCCGUGAGUUGCUGCAUGUGAAACCCAGGCCUUUCCACCCCUGUAUCCCUUUUCCUCUGCAUCCCCAGAGCACUGGACGCACCUUCUCCAUACCCGAUACCUCAGCAGUCUUCAGUGUCACCCACCCAGCCCCCUAGGUAGAGAAAGGAGUUAAAUGAAACCACUGUGUUGUUUUUUGAAAACCUCGUCUUGUGCUGGAUUUGGCAUGCUGUGUGGAGCGCAGCGUGAGGACCGAUCUUCCUGAGGCAAGGCAAAAGCCCUCUCGGGUCGCCCAGUCUGGCGGCUUCCACCAAGGUGCCCUCUGGAGACUCCCGGGAGCAUCUGAGCAUGAGGAGCCCCAGAGCAGGCAGGGGAAGCAGUAGGUGUGAUGGAGGGAGCCCUGUUAUCGGCUUUGCAUCUUCCAGGGAGGACCAGGACUAAAGGAACCCACAGCAACGCCAUCUCGGAACAGCAGGGAGCCAUGGAAGACUGGCAUACGCAACUCUAUGCACAGCCAGAGGUGGCCUGGCAAGUGCCGCUUUUGGAAACAACUUGGACGAUUUAAUGAAUUUCCAGGCGAAGUGACCACAAACUGAGCGCUUAGAGACUGGUUCCAUUCUCUUUGUCUGCCUGGCCUUGUUCAGCCCUCUGUGGCCUCGUUCUUCUGUGAGUUAGAAUGCCUCACGAUGCCUCUCUUCUCGGUUUUUGCUUGGGCUUUUCCAUUCUUCGUACUUAAUCAAACCCACCUCUGCUCGCUGUUCUAUUUCUCCAGGGCAGCAGGGGUUGGGAGAAGGCUGAAGCAAACCAAGGCAAAAUUGAGAAGCCAAGGCAGUAAAACUGCAAGUGAGUUUGAUUUAGCACACAGCUCUGGCGUCCUUGGGCCAUCUGCAGCAGGGGCGGUGGGCUCCUCACGGACGGGGGUCUGAACCCCUCCAAGCCACCUAAACCUAUUCCUCCCCAGCUCAGCCAAGGGGAAGCCACUCAGGCUGAACUUCGGUCAACUGGGACAAAGAGAAUGGUGCCCGUGCCAGCCUUUCUCCCUCUAAGAUUUCUUAAGGACUUGACCUUGCUUGUGUACAUUCUCUAAGUCACAUUUUGCUUCUCUCACAAUCCGAGAGAUGUGACCAAAUGUACAGAGGGAUAACGUCUAGGUUGUGGCCUUAGAUACUCAACCCAGUUUCUCCCCGUCCUUCCUCACCUUCGAACCUGUCUCAGCCGUAUAAUCUAUGACUCAAACAAUUAUUUAACCAUGAAAAAAGACAAACCAGGAAAUUAGAGGCCGAAUGACCUAAAAUUUAUUCCAUUCAGCUGAGCUAAUCUCCUAAUAAGGGUGUGUAUAAUAAUAAGUCAUAAUAUAUCUGUUCUGGAAGACGUGAACAUUGCAGGAAGAAAGCGCCUGGUGACUGCACAUCCCGACUUGUCAAGAUUUGUCCUCAAAAGGGUGAGUGCCUGGUCCUUAGCCAAGUCGCCCAGCCGUUCGCCGGACGAGCCUCAGCAUUUCGGACCCGUGCGCUGCAGUGGGGAGCACCCAGCGCUCAGGCUGACCGUGCUCCAUUGCUGGCCCUGCCACUUCCUGGGCAAGCCAGGGGCUCACCUGCCCUCCCCGAGUCUUCUCCACUGUGAAAUGGCAGUGACAGUAAUACCGGUCUCCCGGGGCUGCUGUAAGGACAGAUGAGCAAAGCACUUGGCACAUGCGAGCGGCCCCCCUCCGUAACAGCACCCCUAGUCAACUGUUGCUGUAUGUUCAACAGUGAAUUGGCAAGACCACGAAGGUUGGAGGCCCCACAAAGUGGGGUUCCACGGAGUCACUGGAACAGAGUCAAGUAUCCUGAGCAAGAGAGAGCAGAAGGUCCCAGAGGAGGCCCAGGCAGCUGGCGGGUGGAGCGCUGAACGGAAAGCCAAGGACAGCCACUCACAGCCGGGACGUCUGCGUGGGUGGGAGGACGCAGGGGGCUGCCCUGCGGUCCUGCCGCAUUAGCUCAACGGGGCUGCAGCCCCACCCUUGCGGGGGUCCAUCGGGCCGUGAAACUCGGCUCACACUGACCCUGCUCGCACGACGCGCAGGCUCUAACCAGCAGAGAGCUGCAACGCAUGCGCAGAGUGAGCUACAAAGUGCUUGGUGGCCGCAGACGCUUAAUAACUGAGCGCGUCUAUCCCAGUUCAGAAAUCUGCCCUUUAGGAGCUAGGUUGUAAGGACGUGACCAGAUGCUGAGAAAUUUUUAUUUCAGAGCUGAGCCUUUUUUCCUUAAGAAGAAAAGGCAAGAGUUUCUAAAGUGUUCUGGAAAUGUGAACACCAACUGAAUCUUGGUGAUAUUUAAGUGGUAUUAUUAAUUUUUAGCUGAACCGAGGAAAAUGUGGUUAGUGUAACGAGUCCAUUUUUUAAAUAAAUUUUAUUUAGUUAUUUUUCAA